UCAGUAAAUGGCACCGGUUCCCCUAAGAUUACCGAAGUUAAGCAACGUCGGGCCUGGUAAGUACUUAUAUGGAAGACCGCUUGGGAAUAUCAGGUGUUGUAAG